rnacentral:rRNA from 1 species
AGAGUUUGAUCAUGGCUCAGGAUGAACGCUGGCGGCGUGCCUAAUACAUGCAAGUCGCACGCUUUGUCUUUAAUUGAUCUGACGAGCUUGCUCUGAAGUGAUUUUAUCUGACAAAGAGUGGCGAACGGGUGAGUAACACGUGGGUAACCUACCUCUUAGCAGGGGAUAACAUUUGGAGACAAGUGCUAAUACCGUAUAAUACCAACAACCGCAUGGUUGUUGGUUGAAAGAUGGUUCUGCUAUCACUAAGAGAUGGACCCGCGGUGCAUUAGCUAGUUGGUAAGGUAACGGCUUACCAAGGCGAUGAUGCAUAGCCGAGUUGAGAGACUGAUCGGCCACAAUGGGACUGAGACACGGCCCAUACUCCUACGGGAGGCAGCAGUAGGGAAUCUUCCACAAUGGGCGCAAGCCUGAUGGAGCAACGCCGCGUGUGUGAUGAAGGGUUUCGGCUCGUAAAACACUGUUAUAAGAGAAGAACGGCACUGAGAGUAACUGUUCAGUGUGUGACGGUAUCUUACCAGAAGGGAACGGCUAAAUACGUGCCAGCAGCCGCGGUAAUACGUAUGUUCCAAGCGUUAUCCGGAUUUAUUGGGCGUAAAGCGAGCGCAGACGGUUAUUUAAGUCUGAAGUGAAAGCCCUCAGCUCAACUGAGGAAUGGCUUUGGAAACUGGAUGACUUGAGUGCAGUAGAGGAAAGUGGAACUCCAUGUGUAGCGGUGAAAUGCGUAGAUAUAUGGAAGAACACCAGUGGCGAAGGCGGCUUUCUGGACUGUAACUGACGUUGAGGCUCGAAAGUGUGGGUAGCAAACAGGAUUAGAUACCCUGGUAGUCCACACCGUAAACGAUGAGUGCUAGAUGUUCGAGGGUUUCCGCCCUUGAGUGUCGCAGCU